rnacentral:rRNA from 1 species
UGGGGAAUAUUGCGCAAUGGAGGAAACUCUGACGCAGCGACGCCGCGUGAGUGAAGAAGUCUUUCGGGAUGUAAAACUCUGUCAGGUGGAACGAUAAUGACGGUACCACCAAAGGAAGCCCCGGCUAACUACGUGCCAGCAGCCGCGGUAAUACGUAGGGGGCGAGCGUUAUCCGGAUUUACUGGGCAUAAAGGGAGCGUAGGUGGUUAGGUAAGUCAGGUGUUAAAGUCAAAAGCUCAACUUUUGUUCGCACUUGAUACUGCUUAACUAGAGAUCAGGAGAGGAAAGCGGAACUCACAGUGUAGCGGUGAAAUGCGUAGAUAUUGUGAGGAACACCAGUUGCGAAGGCGGCUUUCUGGACUGAUUCUGACACUGAGGCUCGAAAGCGUGGGGAGCAAACAGG